rnacentral:rRNA from 1 species
AGUGAACGCUGGCGGUAGGCCUAACACAUGCAAGUCGAACGGCAGCACAGUAAGAGCUUGCUCUUACGGGUGGCGAGUGGCGGACGGGUGAGGAAUACAUCGGAAUCUACUUUUUCGUGGGGGAUAACGUAGGGAAACUUACGCUAAUACCGCAUACGACCUACGGGUGAAAGCAGGGGAUCUUCGGACCUUGCGCGAUUGAAUGAGCCGAUGUCGGAUUAGCUAGUUGGCGGGGUAAAGGCCCACCAAGGCGACGAUCCGUAGCUGGUCUGAGAGGAUGAUCAGCCACACUGGAACUGAGACACGGUCCAGACUCCUACGGGAGGCAGCAGUGGGGAAUAUUGGACAAUGGGCGCAAGCCUGAUCCAGCCAUACCGCGUGAGUGAAGAAGGCCUUCGGGUUGUAAAGCCCUUUUGUUGGGAAAGAAAAGCAGCAGGUUAAUACCCCGCUGUCCUGACGGUACCCAAAGAAUAAGCACCGGCUAACUUCGUG